GUUGUCCCCUUCGGCCCAGUUCCGGACACUCGCAGGUUUUUGCUUCGGUGAUAUUCGAAGAGCCGUUAUCACCGGGUGAAAAUUUGCAAGUGUCCGGUAACUGGACAUUUGUCUGUUGUU
rnacentral:pre_miRNA from 14 species